rnacentral:misc_RNA from 1 species
UCUCCGUAGGUGAACCUGCGGAGGGAUCAUUACUGAGUGAGGGUUUAACCGCCCGACCUCCAACCCUUUGUGAAUCGUACUCGUUGCUUCGGGGGCGACCCCGCCGUUUCGGCGGUGGCGCUCCCGGUGGCCAAUUAUUAAACUCUGCAUCUCUUGCGUCGGAGUCUUAAAGAAAUUUAAACAAAACUUUCAACAACGGAUCUCUUGGUUCUGGCAUCGAUGAAGAACGCAGC